GUGGGUAACUGGAGAUCGAGAACUCCGCAAAAGCAAAAAGCACUUCAUUUCCACCGUCUUUCAUCUGCCUCCUAUAUUUACCUUCGGCUUUAACGCGCCGCCUUUCCCACCGCCUCCCAACCUCCGAUGAACGCCGAUUGCUUCCAUCAUUUCCGAGGAAUUCCACCAGACUAACAGAGGCUGAUCUUUGCUGGAAAGAAGUUUGAAGGUGAUCACUCUUGCUGACAACACCAUUCAUAAGGUUAAGACCAAAGAAGAAGAUUAAGUAGAGCAGUUGGUGUUCGGGCAACGGUUUCCAUGAAAUUGAUGUUCUAAAGAAGUUGUUUUACUAAGGUAUCUAUUAGCCUUCUGAUAGUGUGCAUAUGCUGUCAGGGGUCACCUGUAUCUUCGAGCUUGUGAGCUCCAGAAAGAAGAUUGUGUGUGCAAAAGUUCGAGAAGGUGAUCAAUGCAUUUGAAUCGACAAAUGUUCAUUCCUGAAAAGUAUUUUACCAAAACUCCCACGUAUUCUCAAACUACGAUUGACGAGCUAAGGGAGAGGUGAAUCUCAUACGUUAUCGAAUAUCACCAACCAAAUAACGAUUAAGAUGAAGAUGAUGAUGACGAUGAUCUAGUGUGACUUAAGCUAGCUGAGAUGGUUGUUGCAGAGUCUGUUCCUGCUGCAGACGUUGCUGUUGCUGCAGACGAUGUUGUUCCUGCUGCAGACACUGCUGUUACGCUGUUGUUCCUGUUGCAGACUCUGAUGUUCCUGCUGCAGACGUUGUUGUACCUGCUGCAGGCGCUGCUGUUGCUGGAGAAUUUGUUCCUGCUGUUGAGUUUUUUAUUUUUACAGUGAUAUUGGAUUUUUAUUUUUGCCGUACCUUGUGUAGAUCAUUUAUUUUGUUAUUGAAUGAAAAAUAUUAUUUUGUUAUUGAAUGAAUAAUAUUAUUUUGUUAUUGAAUGAGU